GAUGAACGCUGGCGGCGUGCCUAAUACAUGCAAGUCGAGCGAACGGACGAGGAGCUUGCUUCUCUGAUGUUAGCGGCGGACGGGUGAGUAACACGUGGAUAACCUACCUAUAAGACUGGGAUAACUUCGGGAAACCGUAGCUAAUACCGGAUAAUAUUUUGAACCGCAUGGUUCAAAAGUGAAAGACGGUCUUGCUGUCACUUAUAGAUGGAUCCGCGCUGCAUUAGCUAGUUGGUAAGGUAACGGCUUACCAAGGCAACGAUGCAUAGCCGACCUGAGAGGGUGAUCGGCCACACUGGAACUGAGACACGGUCCAGACUCCUACGGGAGGCAGCAGUAGGGAAUCUUCCGCAAUGGGCGAAAGCCUGACGGAGCAACGCCGCGUGAGUGAUGAAGGUCUUCGGAUCGUAAAACUCUGCUAUUAGGGAAGAACAUAUGUGUAAGUAACUGUGCGCAUCUUGACGGUACCUAAUCAGAAAGCCACGGCUAACUACGUG
rnacentral:rRNA from 1 species